ACUACUCGUCUGAACAUCACCGCUUCACACGGUAUGUAUGGGUGUAUGUCCGUUCCAAAACACAAACGCCACAUAACCGCCCUCCUCAUCGAUCCACCACCACACUGCGUGUUUGUGUCGCGCGCUGGCGCGUGUUCGUGCGUUCGGUGGCGUCAUGUAUCGUUUAGCCGGCGGUGCGCCGUUUUUCAGACGGUUCCUCCGGAGGCGUCAAUGGUGUCUGACCCGGACCCGGGCAAGCUGCGAGCUGAGGAGUGGUAGGAGCCGAGCGCUGCCCGGCCGCCGCCGCCGGCCGCACGCCAACCGCUCACAGAGCCAGGCAGGCGGCGGCGGCCACCGCUGGCGACGGCAGCCAGAGGUCAGCAGAAGGUCACAGCUGGAGCCGCGCCACCCGGGGUCAAGGUCAACACUCAAGGUCACCUGGACUGUGGGCUGUGGAUAUCUGUCGUUGAGGGAUAGAUGUCACAUCAUUGAAGAAUGAAGUCGUUUGUCGGUGGCUGCCGUCGACGUUUCGUCGUCUGGGUCGGUCAGAACACUGUGUCACUAUAAGGUGAAUCUAAGGUCAUUCUGAGGUCAUUCGGAGGUCAUCCAAGGUCACUCAGAGGCCGCGGACGCCGAACUGGGAGAGAGGGGUUUCUCAGGGAAGAGCGAGAGUCGGCGACACUCGAGAGUGCGUCGCCAAGUCCUUCAUCAACUUUUAACAUGUGUGCUCUCCCAAUUGUGUGUGACUUCACCGUGAUGUGUAACGUCACCGCUGCGUGUGACGUCACCGGUACAAGGUGACGUCAUCAGACGGUACAUUAUGUGACGUCAUAUCGUGUGUGGCGCGCGUGGCGGUUUGCGGACGGGUGUUCUCCGGUCGGUGUUGACGUUUCUUUUGCCGCGCGCA